GACGAACGCUGGCGGCGUGCCUAACACAUGCAAGUCGAACGGAACUUCUUUAAAGGAUUUCUUCGGAAUGAAUUUGAUUAAGUUUAGUGGCGGACGGGUGAGUAACGCGUGAGUAACCUGCCUCUGAGAGGGGAAUAACAUUCUGAAAAGAAUGCUAAUACCGCAUAACAUAUAUUUAUCGCAUGGUAGAUAUAUCAAAGAUUUAUCGCUUAGAGAUGGACUCGCGUCCGAUUAGUUAGUUGGCGGGGUAACGGCCCGACCAAGACCGCGAUCGGUAGCCGACCUGAGAGGGUGACCGGCCACAUUGGGACUGAGACACGGCCCAGACUCCUACGGGAGGCAGCAGUGGGGAAUAUUGCACAAUGGAGGAAACUCUGAUGCAGCGACGCCGCGUGAGCGAAGAAGUAUUUCGGUAUGUAAAGCUCUGUCAGCAGGGAAGAUAAUGACGGUACCUGACCAAGAAGCCCCCGGNUAACUACGUG
rnacentral:rRNA from 1 species